rnacentral:snoRNA from 1 species
UGCAGUACCCCUCAUUUAAAAAAUUAAGCAGUUUCUGAUUUGCUGUGGAGUUGACCAUAGAAAGAACUCCACUGGGCUUGCUUUUUGCUCCCUUGCUAGCAUUCAGCCUAUUGGGAACAUUC